AACAUACUUCAAUCAUAUAAACUUGACACGACAUAUAAUUGACAACUUGUCGACUACAAUUCAAUGCAAUAUUCAUUAAUGUCUACCACUACAUAUUUUAAUAAUUAAAUAAAUAAAUAAAAUAAGCCAGCAUAUAUCUUGGUUUCAUCACAUAAACGACGAACAAGCUUCAAUAUGUCACCACCGAUACAUAUCCUCUCGACCACCACCAUUCGACCCAGAAAAAAUCAUCAUGAAAAUGGGUCACUUGAAAAAAUCGAGUUAACUCCAUGGGAUUUGCAAUUCCUCUUUGUAGAACCUCUCCAAAGAGGUCUUCUCUUCAACAAAUCCAGCUUUCAAAUAUCCGAGACCAACACUAAUUUGAUACAACACCUUAAAGCCACCCUCUCCUCCACAUUGGAUACUUUUUAUCCCUUUGCUGGUCGUCUUGCCCGGACUGUAAACCACGAUAGUACCUCCUCUUUUUCCCUUUGUUGCAAUGAUGAAGGAGUCCAAUUUGUUCACGCAGUUGCUGAUGGCGUCUCGGUGGCUGAUAUACUUAACCCCCUCAAUGUUCCUGACCAUAUCCUUCAUUCUUUCUUUCCAUUGAGUGAAAUCCCCAACUAUGAAGGAAUUUACAGACCAUUGCUUUCAGUGCAAGUAACUGAGUUACUCGACGGCAUCUUCAUCGCUUGCACCAUCAACCACUGUGUUUCAGAUGGCACACCAUUCUGGCAUUUCUUCAACACUUGGUCUCAAAUAUCAAGAGGCGGCCAUGGUGAUGGAGAUGAUGAUCAUCAAGCACCUCAAGUUUCAAAACCGCCUCCCAUUUUUGCCCGUCAGUAUCUCAACGGCAUCAUUCAACUCCCACUUCACAUUCCUUUUGAAAUCCCUCAGAGUACUUUUACUCCGCUGCCACCAAUAUUCCAACACAGUGUGUUUCAUUUUACCAAGCAAACCAUUUCACAACUCAAAGCCAAAGCCAACGCUGAGAUGGGGACCGAUAAGAUCUCGUCUCUUCAAGCACUAUUGGCUCAUUUUUGGUUAUGCGUUACUCAUAGUCGAAAUCUCAAGACGAAUCAAGAGGUUUCUUUAGGGAUUAUGAUAGGCAUGAGAAAUAGAAUGGAGCCCAAGUAUUUGGCAGAAGAGUACCUGGGAAAUAUGUGUCAGCCUGCGUUUGUACAGCACACUGCAGGCGAGCUCCUAAAGAAAGGAUUAGGGUGGGUGGCUUGGCAGAUAAACAAGCUAAUAGAUUCAUAUACAUCAGGAGAAGCAAGGAAGUUGUUGCAGGAUUGGGCAAAAAAUCCAAUAAUGUUCAAAGGUACGAAGAUCACAGAUAAUACAACGUUAUUUUUGGGUGGCUCGCAUAGAUACAACAUCUAUGGUAAUGAUUUCGGCUGGGGAAGACCAAUUGCAGUUAGAAGCUCGCAGGCAAACAUGAGGAAUGGAAAGAUGAAUGUGUUUGCUGGUGCUGAACAAGGAAGUACAGAUUUUGAAGCUUGGCUUUUGCCUGAAACAAUAUAGGCUAUGGUGAACGAGGCAGAGUUCAAAGCAGAGUUCAGGGACACUAUCACCGUCUAAAAGUUGUAUGGUCUUAUGCUAUUUUGCUUAAAGUUUUAACUAUUUUAUCUUUGGAAAAAUGGUCAUCUCUUUAGGGAUAUGGUUCACUCUUUGUUGGUUGAAAAUGAUAUUAAGAUUGAAUAAUAAAUUGUUUGGUAGCA